rnacentral:misc_RNA from 1 species
CCUUCGCCGUGUAAAGCCCCUUCGACGAGUCGAGUUGUUUGGGAAUGCAGCUCUAAAUGGGAGGUAAAUUUCUUCUAAAGCUAAAUACUGGCCAGAGACCGAUAGCGCACAAGUAGAGUGAUCGAAAGAUGAAAAGCACUUUGGAAAGAGAGUCAAACAGCACGUGAAAUUGUUGAAAGGGAAGCGCUUGCAGCCAGACUUGCCUGUAGUUGCUUAUCCGGACUUUUGUCCGGUGCACUCUUCUGCGGGCAGGCCAGCAUCAGUUUGGGCGGUUGGAUAAAGGUCUCUGUCAUGUACCUCUCUUCGGGGAGGCCUUAUAGGGGAGACGACAUGCAACCAGCCUGGACUGAGGUCCGCGCAUCUGCUAGGAUGCUGGCGUAAUGGCUGUAAGCGGCCCGUCUUGAAACACGGACCAAGGAGUCUAACAUCUAUGCGAGUGUUUGGGUGUCAAGCCCAGACGCGUAAUGAAAGUGAACGGAGGUGGGAACCCUUUGGGUGCACCAUCGACCGAUCCUGAUGUCUUCGGAUGGAUUUGAGUAAGAGCAUGGCUGUUGGGACCCGAAAGAUGGUGAACUAUGCUUGAAUAGGGUGAAGCCAGAGGAAACUCUGGUGGAGGCUCGCAGCGGUUCUGACGUGCAAAUCGAUCGUCAAAUUUGGGCAUAGGGGCGAAAGACU